rnacentral:rRNA from 1 species
GAUGAACGCUGGCGGCGUGCUUAACACAUGCAAGUCGAGCGAAGCACUUAGGAAAGAUUCUUCGGAUGAUUUCCUUUGUGACUGAGCGGCGGACGGGUGAGUAACGCGUGGGUAACCUGCCUCAUACAGGGGGAUAACAGUUAGAAAUGACUGCUAAUACCGCAUAAGACCACGGUACCGCAUGGUACAGUGGUAAAAACUCCGGUGGUAUGAGAUGGACCCGCGUCUGAUUAGGUAGUUGGUGGGGUAACGGCCUACCAAGCCGACGAUCAGUAGCCGACCUGAGAGGGUGACCGGCCACAUUGGGACUGAGACACGGCCCAGACUCCUACGGGAGGCAGCAGUGGGGAAUAUUGCACAAUGGAGGAAACUCUGAUGCAGCGACGCCGCGUGAAGGAUGAAGUAUUUCGGUAUGUAAACUUCUAUCAGCAGGGAAGAAAAUGACGGUACCUGACUAAGAAGCCC